CCCUUAGAUGUUCUGGGCUGCACGCGCGCUACACUGAAGCGUUCAACGAGUAUUCACCUUGCCCGGGAGGGUUGGGUAAUCUUUUGAAAACGCUUCGUGAUGGGGAUAGAUUAUUGCAAUUAUUAAUCUUCAACGAGGAAUUCCUAGUAAGCGCGAGUCAUCAGCUCGUGCUGAUUACGUCCCUGCCCUUUGUACACACCGCCCGUCGCUACUACCGAUUGAAUGAUUUAGUGAGGACUUCGGACUGAGUCCAAUGCGGCUUUCGGGCUGCGUUGGUAUUUCGGAAAGAUGUCCAAACUGUAUCAUUUAGAGGAAGUAAAAGUCGUAACA
rnacentral:rRNA from 1 species